rfam:Trichobilharzia regenti genome assembly, scaffold: TRE_scaffold0022710
GUACCGCUGAAGAGUCCCAAACUAGGACGAAACAGCUGUCAAGCAC